rfam:Mustela putorius furo unplaced genomic scaffold scaffold00081, whole genome shotgun sequence.
UUGCUCACUUUGACAGCACAUACAGUAAAAUUGGAAAGAUAAAGAGAAGAUUAGCUUGGCCCCUGUGCUAGGCUGCACAAGGAUGACACACAAAUUCAUGAAGUGUUCCAUAUUGAA